AAAAAUCAUGGGUGGAGGAGGAACCAUUAGAGCUGCAGCCAAGGUUGCCAGUUUCAGUGUUAAUGGCGGUCUGCGAGGUUCCCCAUUGGUGCCAACUGCAGAGUAGUCAAUGGCGAUUGCCUCCUAAAAGGUUUCAAGGCCUACGACUUCUAUCGUCUCGUCAGUGUCCAUAGAAGAAGGGAGGUCUUCCUUCUUGCUUUCUGGUCAGAAUGGGAAGAUUGAUGCAUCUGUUCAAAGGCCGUUAUGGGACGAUGAUUGGGAAUUUGCUUUGUAUGAAGAAGACCUGCAUGUAGAUUCAAUGACUCCAAUGCCUAGAGUUGUCGUUGGAGGAGUUCCAACAAUGGAGGAAGCCACAGAGGCUACUUUCGAAUUGAAAGAUGCCCUAGAGCAAAGGUCAAUCUUUUGCCAUAUUC